rnacentral:rRNA from 1 species
AGAGUUUGAUCCUGGCUCAGAAUCAACGCUGGCGGCGUGCCUAACACAUGCAAGUCGCACGAGAAAGGGGAGCAAUCCCUGAGUAUAGUGGCGCACGGGUGAGUAACACGUGACUAACCUACCCUCGAGUGGGGAAUAACCUAGGGAAACCUGGGCUAAUACCGCAUAACACUUACGAGUCAAAGCAGCAAUGCGCUUGGGGAGGGGGUCGCGGCCGAUUAGCUAGUUGGCGGGGUAAUGGCCCACCAAGGCAAUGAUCGGUAUCCGGCCUGAGAGGGCGCACGGACACACUGGAACUGAAACACGGUCCAGACUCCUACGGGAGGCAGCAGUGGGGAAUUUUGCGCAAUGGGGGAAACCCUGACGCAGCAACGCCGCGUGGAGGAUGAAGUCUCUUGGGACGUAAACUCCUUUCGAUCGGGACGAUAAUGACGGUACCGAUAGAAGAAGCCCCGGCUAACUUCGUGCCAGCAGCCGCGGUAAUACGAGGGGGGCAAGCGUUGUUCGGAAUUAUUGGGCGUAAAGGGUGCGUAGGCGGUCUGGUAAGUCUUGUGUGAAAUCUUCAGGCUCAACCUGAAGUCUGCAUGAGAAACUGCCGGGCUUGAGUAUGGGAGAGGUGAGUGGAAUUUCCGG